GCCACCGUAGCUCAGUUGGUAGAGCGGCGCUUUUGUAAAGCGUUGGUCCGGGGUUCGAUUCCUCGCGGUGGCU
rnacentral:tRNA from 1 species